UCUAGAGACCUUUGUAAGACAUAUUAAGGGACUGUAAUAAGAUGUUGCCAGGAUUAGCCCAUUUCUCCCCUUUGUUCUUAUUGUUAUUGUAAAGGCGAAUUGGGUAUUCUACAGAACAGGAAAUGAGAACUUGAGGAGAUAACUUUUUGGAAUUAUUUUUUGAAAGUGAAUCACUGUUGGAAUUCUGUGACAUUUGCUCCUCUACCCAAUGGAGAAAGGAAUGUACCACAAGGAAAGGCCUUGGAAGAUUAUGGGAAAAGAAGAGGACACAGAAUUUGUAAAUGUCUGGGAGUUGGAAAAAGCCUAGUAUAUUUUAAGAAGGGAAAGAAGAUCAUAUCUCAGCCUAUUUAUGAAAAUCAUAGUUUCCCAGUUCUCACUGUAGUGAAACAGCCAGAUCUCAAACGAACAACCACAUUGUGUAGAAAAUGGAAUCAUUAAGCAGCCAAAGGAGGAGUUAGAAGAGAGAGAAAAGAGAAGUUACACGGGAAGAACAAGAGACAAUUCAUUAUUUCUGACUCUUGGAUUACAUUUCUCUUCUUUGGACAUGAAAAGUUAUGAAAAUAGAGAAGAAAAGAGCUAUUACUUUUGUGCUUGUAAUUUUAUUUUCAGUUUGAAUCAGGUGCACCCAAGAGGCAAGGCCUGGCAGAAUCAACCCCUGUAUUAGGUGGUUCCAAUAAGCCAAUACCUAUUUAUUCAGUUGAAAAGAAGACUGUGUAUGUUGAUGUAGCCAGCUUCAAAAUAAGCCAAAAGCUAAGUGCGGGGAGAUGCAAGCUGUUCUGUUCAGUGGAGAAGAACACAAAAGCUUCCAAUAAAAGGAACUACUUUCAAGGUAGAAUGCACUUUAACUGAUAGAGUGUCA
rnacentral:lncRNA from 1 species